UACAGAGGUGGCAAGCGUUGUUCGGAAUUACUGGGCGUAAAGGGCGUGUAGGCGGUCUUCUAAGUCAGACGUGAAAUCCCCCGGCUUAACCUGGGAACUGCGUCUGAUACUGGGAGGCUUGAGUAUGGGAGAGGGAUGUAGAAUUCCAGGUGUAGCGGUGAAAUGCGUAGAUAUGCGGAGGAACACCGAUGGCGAAGGCAAUCCCCUGGGCCUGCACUGACGCUCAUGCACGAAAGCGUGGGGAGCAAACAGG
rnacentral:rRNA from 1 species